rnacentral:rRNA from 1 species
CCUACGGGUGGCUGCAGUGGGGAAUCUUGCACAAUGGGGGAAACCCUGAUGCAGCGACGCCGCGUGAGUGAAGAAGUAUUUCGUUAUGUAAAGCUCUAUUAGCAGGGAAGAAAAUGACGGUACCUGAGUAAGAUGCCCCGGCUAACUAUGUGUCAGCGGCCGCGGUAUUACGUAGGGGGCAAGCGCUAUCUGGAUUUACUGGGUGUAAAGGGAGCGUAGACGGCAGUGCAAGUCUGGAGUGAAAGGCGGGGGCUCAACCCCCGGUCUGCUCUGGAAACUGUACAUCUGGAGUGCAGGAGAGGUAAGUGGAAUUCCUAGUGUAGCGGUGAAAUGCGUAGAUAUUAGGAGGAACACCAGUGGCGAAGGCGGCUUACUGGACUGCAACUGACGUUGAGGCUCGAAAGCGUGGGGAGCAAACAGGAUUAGAUACCCCAGUAGUC